rnacentral:lncRNA from 1 species
AUUAUAAUUAUAAUUAUUCUAAUGAAUAUAUAUUUAACAGAGAUGUCAUAUUCUUAAGAUCUUCAGUAAAAUCUUAUACCUUGAUGUCUUUGAGCCUCUGCUCCAUGACAGGGUACUCAGUCACUGCUGUGGAGGGGAUGGCUAGUUUGUUCUCACACUGCUGCAGCCAGGCCAGCAGCGCUGCCAUCACAUCCUUAUAACGUGCUGGUGGAAGACUAGACUGGACUAAUACAAGAGAAAAGAAAACAAAACAUGUCUGAACACAAUCUCCAGCCAGCAGUCCUGCAGUUUUCCACAGAUCAUGAAUGUCCAUCAUUCACAAAAUUCAACAAAUGCCCCACUUCCUAUAUGUUUGUUUUUCACAAACAAUUCAUUAUCAAAUCAUCUGAUUAUGUUUCAGCAACUAUUCAAAGGUAAAGUACUGUCAAAGUCAUUUUUAAUCACAUUUUAGCAUUCUGCAUAAUUCUGAAGAUUUUCUCACACAAUCAGCAUAGAAAAUAGUUUAAGAAUCUUUCUAAAUUGUGUAGAAACUCAUUAGACAUGAACUAUCUUUCAGCCAGAGAGUACUUAAAAAUUAGAACAUGAAAGUUUCAGACGCUUUUGUAGCAUAAUAGGAUAGAGAUCUCGUUGAUUUGAAAGAUAUAUGAAACUGCUGCCGGCUCAGAGGCUAACGUAACCAAACCAGACCACGCUGCAGUCUGAAUCAUACGUACAAGUGCUAUCAUAGUACAGUAUGUGAGUGAUCCACUUUUAAACUCCCUCAACGUUAACCCAAAUAGCAAAGCACUAGACACCCCUCACCCAGAACAAGCUGUCUUUCCCUGGCCCUCAGGUCCUCCAGGACAUGGUGGUAGUGCUCUUGGAAGGCAGAGAUGUCAGCAUCAAAGAGAACAGGCGUCUCUUCUUUCCGCUGCAGCUCCUGAAGUUGUUCAUGCAGCUUGUCCACUUGUGGUUGUAGAGCAGAGAGGCGAGCGAUCUCAUCCUGUGAAAGAUUUUCAAACUCUCAUUCUGAUGUCAAGUGAGCAAGUGAUCUUAUCUACAUCUCAUAUGGUCUAAGGGUGAGUAGAUUUUACAUUACACAUAUACAUUGUAUAUUCAAUUAUUUAAUAUAUAAAAUUUAUUGCUAUUUUCUGUGGUUGUAGUUGUUGUGCAUAAAAAAAAAAACCUUCAGGGACCUUGUUAAAACAUCAACUAAUUUCUAAUCUUGGGAACCUUUGGAAGAACAUGCAUAUAGGGUUGUGGAGGAGAUUCUAAAAGUUAUAGCAUGUUUUCAAAGUAAAUCAAGCUCUUUUAUCUCAAAAGAUCAAGACAUUUUUUUAAGGUUAUUUGUCUUGUUGGGGAUGAUAAAAUGUCCUGCAUGAAUGCAUCAUUUUUCUCUUUUUUUUUUUUUUUUGCAUGAGAUCUAGAUGGAACACAUGCUUUUCAGAUAGUUAAAAUAUUGUUCUAUCCUAACAAACCAUACUUGGUUUAGCUAACAAAGCGUAUUUAUUCAGCUUUCAGAUGAUGUAUCUCAAUUUCCAAAAAUUGACCAUUUAUGACUGGUUUAGUGGUCCAGGGUCACAAAUGAUUUGUUCACAAAUUGGACAUUUCUACUUUCUAAAGAAUGAGCCGAGGAGAGCUGAAUAUCAGAGAAUAACAAGUUAAAUUGGCCUUUCGGCCAGGAGAGAGCAGAAAUCGACCCAUCGAGCACGUAACUGCUGAGCCGCCUGCUGGAUGUCCUCGGAAUUCUGACCAUCUUUAGAGAAAGAUCCAUUAGGACAAAUGAGACUCAUGCAUAUUGAAACAGCAUUUGAGGCAAUUAAGCUGGCAAAGGCUUUAGACUUUCAAAAUAGCUGGGAAACGUCCC